UUGAAUAAGCCUGGGUAUUAUGCAAUCUUUGUCUUUUUUUAACGAUUAAGAGUUGAAGACUUUUUAAAAUGCUUGUUAUUAAUGGAACAAUUUUUAAUUGUAUGGAAAGCUUGCUUACGUAGAACAUCUCACUUUCCCACAAAGCCACACAUAUGAAAUAAGAUUACAAUAAUUUUGCCAUCGACCCAAUUAAACAAAGUAGUGAAUUUGUACUGUAGUGAAAAGAAGAAAUGAUGUAAAAACACUCUUUAAUGGCAAAGUUGUGAUUUUUGUCAUAGGGAAGAAAAGAGACAAGCUGGCAAUAUAGGAAUCUCUUCUAGGAUGAACAUUCUGCCGGUCUGGAAAAGAACAUACUUCCUUGCUGAUAGAAAGAUUCUACUCUUUCAUGCUCCAAACAGCUCUCUUCUAGAAAGCAGGUGCCCAGGAUACAUAAAGAGGAGAAGAUGCAGAAGAGAAAAUGCUAAAGAGACAAUGAGCUCAUGAGCAACUUGAGUACAGAUAUCAGCCUUAUUCACCUUUGCAUAUGUCCUUCUGCUCCCAUAUACUCAACCAGUGCCCGAUAUACAAACCAAGAGAGAAGAAACAUCAACAUUUCCUGAAAAGUUGAACUUGUAGCUGUACUUGAAGGACUGUGAGAUAACAGAACUAAAUGUUAGAAGCAGCCUGGUUCCCUGAGUCACCACCAGGAGGGCAGCUACCAGGAGAGUCACCCAACCUUCUUCAGGCUGAGAUCAUUUGACUCCCUGACCUUCUUCAACAGAAAAGUCUAUGGGCUGAUUAUACGCUAAGAAUAGAAGUAUUUCCUCUUACUUGUUUUAAAUUUUCCCACUGUUAAUUUCUUUGAGAGCAUACUUGUUCUCAUAUUACAAAACAAUGUUAAAAAAAAUUUUUUUAAAGAAUUUUUACUACUUCUAUAAAAUCUGAAAAUUUUUGCUCUUGUAUCCCAGUGUUUCUGAGAUUGGUCCCUUUCGUUAUCUCACCAUCCAGAGGUCCUAGCCUACAUUUACGUUGGCCUAUAGUUACAUGAUUCAACUUAUAACCUAAGGCCCCUUGCCAGUUGCUCCCUGCACUUCACUUUACUAUUUCCCGAAGCAACUUCUUUGUUUUAGUUGAGGAGGGUUGCUACCUUCCUGUGGCAGUGGUUGCCAAAGUAUUGUUUUAAGAAUCAUUACCAGGCCAUGUAAGGACUUGGUAGAAAAAAUGGUUUUAUAGGUUAGCAGUCUGCUGGUGUGAGGGGUGGAAGAUAUGGUGGAGCCUUGGAAAACUCACUGUCAGGAAAACACAGCUAUACCUCCUAUGCAGACACUUUGCUCAACAGCACUUAGGCACAACUUACCUGCUGUCUAACCCAGAACUCCAUCCAAAUUCCAUUCCACUUAUCCACGUCUGACACUUCUUAAGUUUCUAUAAAGAUUUUUCUAACACUCUUUCUCUGCUGAUCACUGGCUGACAAAAUUCAUUCUAUAAUUCACUCUGAAAUUGACAGCAUUGUCCUAGAUGGAUGGCAUGCUUGGAU
rnacentral:lncRNA from 10 species